ACAUACGUUGCCUUUAAAAAAAAAAAAAGUUAUUCUUCUUUUGCAUUAAGUUUGUUGCGUUUUGGUAAAAAAAAAAAAAAACAGUUUGUUGCGUUCUUGUCAACCAUAAUCCUUUGGGAUAAAAAAAAAAAGUUCUUUCCAUUUACUGCUUAUCUUUUCAAUAUAAACUCGUUCAAAAAGAAAAAAAAAAUGGUGGUGUUUUCGCUUUAAAUCUCGUUAGCCGUCACUCUUCUUUUGCAUCGAUCAAGUUGGUUACUUUCUUGUCAAUCUUGCCAGGUUAAAAAAAAAAAAAAAACUCUUCUUUACUAGAUUUUGAAUCCCCAGAUGUGAACUAAAUUUUACGAACAGAAAAAAGAAAAAAAGAAAAAAGCUGGUUUGAAGAUUUCUUUUCUCGCUACUAUUCUUCUGCACACACUGCUGCUUUUGUUGCGGGCGGAAAAAGUCGAAGAAGAAGAAGUGUCCAAUUUAGAACAAAUUUUGGUGGCAUCUUCAUCUGUGCUUUAUUAGGGACGCAAGAGAGUGGUGCUGAUCAUAGAGUAAUACAGUUUUCAACUGCAGAACUUUAGUUGCUGUCUAUCACCUCUCAAGCUCAAGGAGGUCAACUUCUUAUUCACAUUGAGCAAGCUAAAUCGGGAAACAAGAAUGGAUAUUGUCACGACCAUUGCUGGAAAAUUUUUAGAACCGAUAGUAGAAUACAC